AUUUCACCUACCUGGGUCCCUGAUGUUUGGCCCUUGCCCUGCUUCCUCCCUCAUGUGCUAAUGAGCUGAGACCAUCCCCAAGCAGACUGCAAGCAUCUUGGCAUCAAGACAUCUGCUCUCUUGGAGCACAGCAGCACUCAGGAGAGCUCGUGCUGAAAGACAUUUCUUCCUAUGAACUCUCUGUUAGUUCUUCUAAAAACCAUCAGAAAUGAAAUAAUUCUUUAAUGGCUGUUCUUACCAAGGUGGACGUGAUUUUUUUAUUUGCAUGGAGUAUUAUUUUGGUCAUGUGCUUGAAAUAUCACCAGCUAGAGAGCUGGUAGCUUUCCCACUGGGAGAGGGCUGCAGGACCCAAGAAGAUGCUUUUGCCAGAUGACCUAGGGGCUCUGCAGGCCAUGAAGGACUGUCUCCAGGCAGGCCAUCCUUAUCCUACAGUACCAGCUGGCUGGGCCUUAACAGAAUCCUCAUUUCAACCAGAUUUAAAACAUCGCUCUAAACUGAUAUUGCAUAUGAAAUACGCUGCUUUGCUGACAAAUCCCUCUUCUGCAUAUGGAAUAUGCUGCUUUGUUGACAAACCCCUCUUUCUUGAAGUUUCUCCAGUGAUCCGAGUGAAUGAAAUGCUGUGGAGCUUCAAGUCAACAUAUUUCUUCAAGUUAGAAAUGGAUUGACUAAAUCAAGUAAAAUAACUCUAUCAAACUUCCAGCCAGAGCUCAGAUUACGUAAAUUCUGAGUAAUUUGCUUUUCCUGACAGUUUUCAAGUCUGCAUUUACAGCUUCUUCUGGGAGUGCUUACAGAACUGCUAAGUAUCACUUCAGCAACAGGCUUGUUGGGUAUUUAGCCUUUCCUAAUCAGCGCCCACACCGAGGUAGAGGAGAGGCAGUACUGAUUUCUCAGUCAAAAUUGUCCUCCUGGAAGACACUUCUUGGGUGUAGGCCAUGAGCGUGGGGGUAGGUGAGGUACUUUCUUUUGUCCCAAGUUUAUCUGUGUUAACUGAAAACCAAAAUAAAACCAACUAACCAAAACA
rnacentral:lncRNA from 1 species